rnacentral:lncRNA from 1 species
CAAGGACUUGUGUGAUACAAAAGAUAAUGAAGUGGCUCUCUCUUAGUUUCUAGUUCUAGUUCUCUCAACUCACGUUUUCUCUCUUUUAGUUCUAGUCGUUAUAUAUAUUUACAAGGUUGAGAACUCUUGCCUAUUUAUAGGCAAGUUUCAUUGACUACAAGCAUGGCAAUUUUGACUUUUUCACCGCCAUAGUGUUGCUUGGAGACAACUCAUUUUCUUCUUCUUCAAGUACUCUUGCUGCCCACGUAGUACCAGAAGCUUCUCCACCACAUGAGUCUUCAACUUUGACUUGGAUUUGCCUUUUCUUGCAUUUCACGUGCACUGUUGCCGACUUGAAGUGCCGACUUAGACGAAUUGUUGCUGCCAUCUCUUUCCUUCUUUGUUAAGCAUACUUCAUUCCUAAGCAUAUGUAGGCUAGUGUGUUCUAGGACUUUCAAAAAUUGGAUCACUUUUUAACAGUUAAAUAUAUAUUAUGUGAAUCUGAAAGUCAAGACAAUAUAGAAACAAGAGGCAGCAAUUGAAUUCUGAGCGGGUACAAACUAUAUACACAUGUACUUGCAUUACUUUGUUGUAAUGAGGGACGGAGGGUGAUUUAUUGGCAAGAGGCAACAAAAUUAAUUAUUGCGAUAAGUAAGUGAUUGAAUAAUAAAAUAAAUAUAAUGAGGAAUUAAUUCAAAUGUCAAAUUUACGUAAUUCGAUCAGUGUAAUUAAUAUUUAUGGGGAGAGCAACAUAUCACACUUGAAUCAUUUAAACACUUUCAUAAUUUUCUAGUCUCUAAUUACACUCAAUAGCACUUAAUGUGUUUAACGCCACAAUUCCCGCGGAAAUCACUUUUCAAUCUCACAAAGGAAUUGUUAAACUUAUCACAAGAUUUAUGGGCUUCAACACUCUCAAAUUAUUUCAGGAUGUAAUUCACAAAAAAAAAAAAAAACUCUUGGAUACUCUUCAUAUAGAAAUUCUUAUAUAUAGCCAAGAGUUAACUUUUUUAUUCCAUUAUUUACUGCCAAUAUUUCCUUGAAAGUAAACCCCCUUUAGGAUAAGGUCUUUUCUCUAGUAAAGAUUGUCCCAGCAGUCUUAAAGAGAAUAUGGCGAAUGAAUUUCGCAUCCCUGUGUUAGAUAGGACGGGUAAAUACCUAGGAAUCCCGUCUGAUUGGGGACGUUCUAAGAGAGAUAUGUUUGCCUGGAUACUGGCAAGAGUGAAUAGAAAACUGGAAGGAUGGAAAGAAAACCUGAUUUCGAAGGGAGGAAAGGAGAUUCUCAUCAAGGGCGUCGUUCAGGCGAUACCACAUUAUGCUAUGUCUAUCUUUAAGAUUCCUCACUCACUAUGUCAGUCCAUAGAAAAAAAGAUAGCAAGCUUCUGGUGGAAGAACAAUAGUCAACGGCAAGGCAUACAUUGGAAAGACUGGAACAUUCUUAAAAACAGGAAGGAGUUGGGAGGUCUUGGUUUUACAGAUCUCAUUGCUUUUAAUAGAGCAAUGCUAGGCAAACAAGCCUGGCGCUUGCUUCAGCAACCUUCAUCUCUGUGGACUCAACUAUUCAAAGGUCUAUAUUUCCAUUCGCAAGAUUUUCUAUGCGCUGCCAAAGGAGCUCGGCCUUCCUGGGGUUGGCGGAGUAUUCUAUUGGGACGGGAGUCUAUUUUAUCAAAGCUGCAAUGGUCUGUUGGUGAUGGGACUCACAUCAAAAUACAUGAGGAUCAGUGGUUAUCUAGGGGAAAACUAGUCGGACCUGCUGCUAGAGACGAACCUAAGAUGGUCGCUGAACUGAUUGAACCGGAACAUAACCGAUGGGAUGUUUCCUUACUGCAUCGCUUUUUUGACGUUGAGACAACAACAGAAAUCCAGGCAAUCCCAAUUAGGCCACAUCAUACAGCAGAUCAGUUGAUUUGGACAGAUGAUCCUCACGGACAGUACUCGGUUAAGCGAGGAUAUCAUACUAUCAGACGCACAGCAUCUACCACUAAUGAGAACAGAGCCUCCUCAUCUUAUCAACCACCUAACUUACUCUGGAAAAGUAUAUGGAAACUUCAUCUCCCACCCAAAAUUAGGAUUUUUCUAUGGUCCAUUUGUCAAAACGCUCUUCCUACCAGAGAUAACCUAUUUCAGAGACAUAUUAGCCCAGACCCAGUGUGUGCAUUAUGCGCUACCCACAUGCCAGAAACGCUGGAACAUUUGUUUCUUCUAUGCCCAUGGACUUUAAAGGUCUGGUCUCACCCACAAAUCGGCAUUCACAUCAUACCAACAGAAAUUCGUCGUAUAGACGCUUGGAUAGAAGACAGACUUACUCAGCACAGGAACUCACCUGGUCUGGACAUUGUAGGCGCUCUCCUGUGGCAAAUCUGG